ACCCACAGAGGGCACCUGCUGGGACCUCCUCUCUGGGUUCACUCAGCCUCAAGCUCAGCAUUCACGUCGGCCUGCCAAGGGCCACGUGGCCUUUCUGUUCGUGGGGGUGGCCGAGCCCGGCGGCUAAUCCAGUGCAAAGCCAUCCCCGGAUCGAGGCUGGCAGCAAAGCCCUCUGGGUAGCAGCACGCGGGCCUGGGGAAAGGCUCAUCCCGCUGGAGCGCACCCUCAGGAACAAAACCCCUCUGUGAACCGCUCUGCAUUUGAAAAACAUGCUUCCCCGGCUCCCAGGAUUCUAACAGUUCGCGGCGACGAGACAGAAGACUGGCGGCCGCGGGCCCCCUUCCCUCACCCCUUCGCCCACCUGGGACGGGCCGGGGCGGCCCCCCGCACCUGUCGGCCUCGCCGUGGCUGCGGGGCUCGGGGCGUCUGGAAGCCCCCCUUCCCAGGGCACCUGCUGCCCCCAAACCGGAACCGGCCCGGUGGCGGACCCGCCGCACGCAGGGCGCCACAUGCUCUUUUACUAACCUUGGGUAACCUUUCGGGAUCACCCGGAUGUCUCGGGAUCACUUUCUGCAACCUCUGAAAGCCGUAAUCUAUGGUUGGUUCAUUAAGGGCUGUAACAGGACACAGAAAUGUAGGUCAGGUUAAUUACUUUUAUGCCAUCCAUUACUCGUUUAUUGCACGCUUACAAAUAAAUGUGUAAUUCGCCUUCUCUGA